GACAUGAGGGGGAUGGAGGCAUAACUUCAGCCAGAGGGGUAAAGGCCCCCAAGGGCCACAUCAGAAACGCAAGGAUGACAAGACCCAGUCACCACCUUAGGCCAUAUGUCACGUGAUGUGGACAUGAGGGGGAUGGAGGCAUAACUUCAGCCAGAGGGGUAAAGGCCCCCAAGGGCCACAUCAGAAACGCAAGGAUGACAAGACCCAGUCACCACCUUAGGCCAUAUGUCACGUGAUGUGGACAUGAGGGGGAUGGAGGCAUAACUUCAGCCAGAGGGGUAAAGGCCCCCAAGGGCCACAUCAGAAACGCAAGGAUGACAAGACCCAGUCACCACCUUAGGCCAUAUGUCACGUGAUGUGGACAUGAGGGGGAUGGAGGCAUAACUUCAGCCAGAGGGGUAAAGGCCCCCAAGGGCCACAUCAGAAACGCAAGGAUGACAAGGUAUUGUUAUAGAUUGUAUUAUUUUGAUAGGU